UGACAGAAGACAGCCUGAGGAGUUUAGCAAACAGGAACGUUUCUCAAGAACUUGAAAGCGUUGGAGGUCUUUCGAAAGGGCUAGUUGUACGCUGCCUGGAGGCUAAGAAAGUUUCACUUAGCAAAAUACAUCGUCCAACCAUGGUGUCUGGGUGAGGAAAGUGAACGAGCAAGAGUGAGUUCCGGUUACCUGUGUGGAGGCAUUAAUUUCAGCGGCUACUGCCCAGACUUUUAGAAGUUUGUCAGUUAUUACUGGUCAAGUUUUCGGUGGGUAUGAGCAACUAUCAACUACGAAGACUAUGGAACAACAACAACAACAAAAAGUCACAUCGAAUGUUUACUUCUUGCUCUGGAAGUUCAGAAAUCUUGUCUUACUUGUGAAACAGAGAAAGACAAAAUAAAAUUGACAAUGUAUAUAGAAUGGUUCUUUGUAACCCAACUUUCCGGGGGGUCAGAAAGAGCCGUAUAAAAUAUCUGAAGCUUCAUGAAGGUGCCAGGAGGGAAGAGGUAAAGGUUCUCACUUAGAGUGGAUAGUUGAUGCUCAACAGUUUGAACUUGACUUGAAGAUAAACCAAGAGCCUGCAACUGGGACAAGGCAUGUUUAUCUUUCGUGCAGCGGUUUGGAGGUGGAGGCAUUCCUGCAACAAUUGCCUGGCACAUUCUAGGCACAAAAUAUUUGUUGGUGACCCAGAACCACUGCCUCCAAAUCGACCUUCUCUCAAUUCACAGAUACUAUCAAAGGAGGAAAACCCUAGAACCCCAAGAGAAAUCCAUUUCUCUCCUCUUAAUCCCCAAGAGAUCAGUGUUUGCUAUUUCCAUGGCAACCAGAAGACGCAAAAUGGCCAAAACCUGAGAGCUACUUCAGAUGAAAGCCAGAAAAAAGAAAAUUAACAAGAGACAUGUUACAGACAGCAUGGAUGACAGUGUGGCCAGGUUUCUGAAAUUUGGGGAGAUUUUCUUAUUUCUUUCCUUGGAAGAAUGCAAUGCUGUCCAGAAUGUAGCAGUGGAGCUUCUUGCUGUGCUGCUAAAUGUUCAUUGAGUACUUCGUUUUAUUCUUUUCUUGAAAGGAGUGGAGGGACCCAUGGGCCUUGGCAGCAAUUAAGUGAAGGUAAGCUGUUGGAAAUUGCUCUCCUGGUAAGCCUUGAUGUUAACCUCAAUGAGGAGGCCAGUCUGGCUACGAUGCCCUUGUUCCCUUUCUUCCAUGGAGUGAACAAAUAUUUAUUGAGCACCUUCUAUUUUCUAGGUAAUCUAUUCCACACACAACGAAAUGAAAACUUACAACUCUGAUAAGGGCUCCUAGGAGAAGUCCCUGUAACUACUAGAGUGUGUAGUAAGCAGAGCUGACCUGUUAGAGCGGCCAGGCCCUCCUAAGGAAGUAUGAUUAAGCUGAGUAGGAGGAAACUGGGCCAUGGUUGCAGGGCCUGGGGAGGGAGAACAUUCCAGGCAGUGGGAACUCUUGGGCAAAGGCCCUUUGGAGGAAGUGAGCCUCAAGUGUUCGAGGAACUGAAAGCAGGCCUGAGCAGCCUGUGUUGGCAGAACCCCAGAGCGUGAGGGGAAUGAACUUGGGGCAAGGCCAGAUGGAGAUGUGAGCAGGAGUCAGGUCAUUCUCAGUGCAGAGCCUAGUCUUGCAGGGUGGGUUUGUUAGGGACUUUGGUGUCUAUCUCUCCUCAUUCCAGGGUGAACUCAAGCUGUAACAGGAAUGUAUGACAAGCCCUUCUUGUGUGUGAUCUGGGAAUGGCAGCUUCUGGUUUAUCUGAAAUCCGUCAGAAUAUUGCCAUACAUUCCAGAUGUGAACCACCAAGUUUCAAAGGAUUAUAAUUUUAUGAAAUACUUUAAACCUAAAUCACAUUCAAGAUAUUUUAUGUAUGAAGACUCAGGCACUUUGGAGCCAUCACCAUGAAUUUCACUUAUCAUCAUAUAUUAACCCCUCAGAAGCCAGAGUUUGACCAUCUAAUAACUUCCCCUGUAUCUGUGACCCACCUGGAAUCUGGGAAGUUCGCAAGAAGCCAAAAAAAUGUAACAAAUUUUAAAUACAUAUUUUUACCAGAGGGUAGGUCCUCAUUAAGAACUUAAUUGAUUAAUUUCAUUGUACACACAGUUCUAACGAGUAGGUUUUUUGGGUUCCAAGGGCACAGCAGAUAGGGAGCAAUAAUUUAGAAAGGGAGAAGGGAUGGGGUGGUAUAUGUAAAUAAUUAACAGGGAGCAGUACAAAUGUAGAGAAGGAGACCAAAAAAGAACCCCCCCCACCCCCAAACAAAACCAAACUCCUGAGACAAAAAACCCAAAAGAACUGAAAACUAUAUUAAAAAAAAAAAAAAAAGUAAGGAAGAAAGAGAAAGACUAAAAGCAAACUGGGGCUUUAAUUACAGACAAAUCUUCUUGCAUGCCUUAAGAUCUUGAGGGUAUUGUGUUUAUAAUAAGACUUAAUGCUUAAGAAGUCAGUCAUAUUUUAGAAGGAUUUCUGGGCCACAGAGUCAAGCUCUUAAAAAGGGUGUUGGUACUUAAGAAGUAGAUCUUCAGUCAUUGGGGAAAUUGUUGAGGAUGGUUCUUACCAAGGUUCUGUGUAACCACGGGUUUACUGUAGUAUGGUUCUAUGGAUGUGUUAAUACAGAUUUUGGGCUGAGAAAAUAUGUGACAUACCAGCUCUUGCUGAAACUGUUUCAUUUUCACAAGCCCUCAAAAUCUGGGUUUGAAGAAAAUCAUUGGAAGUGACGCUUUUCAUAUGUGAAUUGUCAUGGUGCUAUUCUUGACAGUGAAUGAGUUCUUGAAUAUUUAAAAAUAUUGUAGGUGAUACAAUGUGCUCCAUAAAUACAUCUUAAAGUUUGGCUUUCACAUUUUUAACUUUAAUUUUCAUGCUACCUCUUAAAUGCAAAUAAUCUUUCUCCAGGCAUAAGGUGCUCUCAAAAGUUAUGUGGUUGUUGGAAUUGUAUGUUUUCACUUCCUCCAGAUGGGAAUGAGAAUGAAUAAAAAACAGUCCGAACA